UCCAUGUAUGCAAAUGUGACUCUCUGAGG
rnacentral:piRNA from 1 species